CACACACGCACACACACACAUAGAGAGGGAGAGGGAGAGGACAGCCAGCCAGCCAGACUGCCAAUUCCCCACAGUCUACUGAAGGAAGCCUAAAUAUCCACCUAUCUCAACACUCUCCGUUUAGCCAAGCCAGUAAGAGAUUUGUUUAUAAAUAUAUAUAUAUUUUAAAUAACCCAAAUUUAUUUGAAAGGAAAAAAAAUACGGAGCAUCUGUCAGGAAAGAGCAGUGGAAAAAAACAACAAGCAGAGCUAGAAAAGCACGCUCAUGCCGAAUAAAGGACCGUCGCUGGAUGUUACUUGUGUUGUUUUAGGGGGCGUGCGGGCCUAACUUGUUACAGGAUCCAAAGACGCUCUGGCAGACAGAUGAACUGAGUAAUUUGAGGUUUGAUAAGUAAACAACAGCGAGGGGGGAAAAGAAGAAGAAGAAAGGCAUCAACUGAUCGCGCCGAUUCUUGCCACAAACAGCACCACAGACUUCUCAAUGAAGGAGCCUGACGCCAUCAAGCUCUUCAUCGGGCAAAUACCCCGAAACCUGGAGGAGAAGGACCUGAAGCCCAUCUUUGAGCAGUUUGGCAAGAUCUAUGAGUUGACGGUGAUAAAGGACAAGUACACGGGGAUGCACAAAGGAUGUGCCUUCCUGACAUACUGUGCACGUGAGUCUGCCCUGAAAGCCCAGAAUGCACUGCACGAGCAGAAGACGCUACCGGGGAUGAACCGCCCAAUCCAAGUGAAGCCUGCAGACAGCGAAAGCAGAGGGGAAGACAGGAAGCUGUUUGUGGGCAUGCUGGGAAAGCAGCAGACGGACACCGAUGUGAGGAAAAUGUUCGAGCCAUUCGGCAGCAUAGAGGAGUGCACGGUGCUCCGCGGGCCUGACGGUACCAGCAAAGGGUGUGCAUUUGUAAAGUUCCAGAGCAACGCAGAGGCCCAGGCCGCCAUCAACGCUCUGCACGGAAGUCGUACUCUACCUGGCGCCUCGUCCAGCUUGGUGGUAAAGUUUGCAGAUUCUGAGAAAGAGCGAGGGCUCAGACGGAUGCAGCAGGUGGCCUCCCAGCUUGGAGUCAUCAGUCCCAUGACCCUGCACCUCGGGGCCUACAACGCCUACACGCAGGCCCUGAUGCAGCAGCAGGCCUUGGUGGCGCAGUCAGCUUACCUCUCUCCUGUUGCCACCGUGGCUGCAGUUCAGAUGCAGCAGCUCGCUGCCCUCAACCCCAGCAGCAUCAUUGCCACGCCGAUUGCAUCCAUCACCCCGUCCUCAGGUACCAGCACUCCACCCUCCAUCGCAGCUACACCCGUUCCUGCUCUGGCUCCACCAAUCGCAGUGAACAGCUACCCCUCUGUGCCAGCACCACCCAACGGCCAGCCAGCUACAGAAACCCUGUACACUAACGGGGUUCAUGCCUAUCAAGCUCAGAGUCCUGUGCUGGACCCCCUGCAGCAAGCUUAUACAGGCAUGCAGCACUAUACAGCCACCUACCCUGCUGCCUAUGGCCUGGUGGGACAGCCGUUCCCUCACCAGCCCACGCUGGUGGCCCAGCAACCACAGCAGCCACAGCAGCUGCAGCAAAGAGAAGGUCCCGAGGGCUGUAACAUCUUCAUCUACCACCUGCCACAGGAGUUCACUGACUCUGAGAUACUGCAGAUGUUCUUGCCCUUUGGAAACGUCAUCUCUGCAAAGGUCUUCGUCGACCGUGCCACCAAUCAGAGUAAAUGCUUUGGGUUUGUGAGUUUCGAUAACCCAUCCAGCGCCCAGACUGCCAUCCAGGCAAUGAACGGCUUCCAGAUUGGCAUGAAGAGACUGAAAGUGCAGCUUAAGAGGCCCAAGGAUGCCAACAGGCCUUACUGAAGGAGAAAGAGAGAAAAAAACAAACAAACAAAAAAACGCCACACCACUCUCAAGACUGUCCCGUCCAUACAUAUAUGGUGAAGACGUGCGUCGCUAUGGGUACAGUUGCCUAGCAACCGCUAAAACCUACUACCUCCCCUUCCUUCUCACUGCGUUGAAAGUGUUCAAUCAAGAAAAACCACUUGGGAUGUCCCAGCCUUUUUUGGUUGUUUGACCAACCGUAUAGCACAGGAGCAACACUUCACAUAAAGCAGUAUCACGUGUAUGCGCUUUACAAAAACAAACAGCAGUGCAGCAGCAGCAGUAAUAUCAGCAACAAACGCAUCGACUGAAUCAGCAUCCGCAAUAUGAGAAGUGCUCCCGAGUUCCUAUCAUUCCACAGCUGGAUUCAUUUAUAUAUGUACAUAUCUAUUGUUGGCAACAAGAUAUACAUGUUAAGAAAAAGCAUAUCACUGAUGUUAUUCUACUGAACAGGGUUCUACUGUAUAGUGUGAUUUGUGGUCUGCGGCGUUAACAGAAGGCCAGUCUACACAGUCGGAGGCAAAAGAAAAUACUACUCUGUAUGAUUACCAUUGGUAAUAUUGUUAUGUAGAGUUAGUUUUAUUAUUUAUAUGUAAAUUUAAAAACAAUGGGGGUACUUAAGCUGGAAGAGAAAUGGAUUUCCUCUCACUGUAAAUACUUUGGUUUAAAAAAAAAAAAAAGGAGGACUCUAAAACUUCACCAGUUAAUAUUCUCUGCUGCCACAACUUUUAAAAAUUAACAAAGCGGAAGGAAGGGCUGGGAAUUUUUCUAUCUUGAUUUUUUACGUUUUAAUUUAUUUGGUAAUCAAUUUGACGGCGGGGGACAUGUGACAAUUUCUUUUUUAAUUUAAGAAGAAGAAGAAGAAAGAAGAAAAAAAAAACAGGAUUCCUGUGGUCUUCAUGAUGAUGAACACUACUGCUAUUAUAGAGUUUUUAAUUACAUAAAUGUACCUAUGGAAGUGGAAAAAAACGUUUCUUUAUUUAUUCUCUACAAUCGCUGUUUUAAAACAUAUGUCUUUAAAAGAAAAUAAAGUACAAU